UACAGAGGUCCCGAGCGUUGUUCGGAUUCACUGGGCGUAAAGGGAGCGUAGGUGGCCUUAUAAGUCAGUGGUGAAAUCCCGCAGCUUAACUGUGGAAUUGCCAUUGAUACUGUAGGGCUUGAGUACAGAUGCCGUUGGCGGAAUAUGACAUGUAGUGGUGAAAUACAUAGAGAUGUCAUAGAACACCGAUUGCGAAGGCAGCUGACGAAACUGUAACUGACACUGAGGCUCGAAAGUGUGGGGAUCAAACAGG
rnacentral:rRNA from 1 species